rnacentral:rRNA from 1 species
GAUGAACGCUGGCGGCGUGCCUAAUACAUGCAAGUCGAGCGAACGGACGAGAAACUUGCUUUUCUGAUGUUAGCGGCGGACGGGUGAGUAACACGUGGAUAACCUACCUAUAAGACUGGGAUAACUUCGGGAAACCGGAGCUAAUACCGGAUAAUAUUUUGAACCGCAUGGUUCAAAAGUGAAAGACGGUCUUGCUGUCACUUAUAGAUGGAUCCGCGCUGCAUUAGCUAGUUGGUAAGGUAACGGCUUACCAAGGCAACGAUGCAUAGCCGACCUGAGAGGGUGAUCGGCCACACUGGAACUGAGACACGGUCCAGACUCCUACGGGAGGCAGCAGUAGGGAAUCUUCCGCAAUGGGCGAAAGCCUGACGGAGCAACGCCGCGUGAGUGAUGAAGGUCUUCGGAUCGUAAAACUCUGUUAUUAGGGAAGAACAUAUGUGUAAGUAACUGUGCACAUCUUGACGGUACCUAAUCAGAAAGCCACGGCUAACUACGUG